rnacentral:lncRNA from 1 species
GUUCUUCCGCCAGCGCCCAUCGUGAAGACCACAGUUUCCUGUCGCGUGGAUGUGUUUCCUCUCUGGCCAUUGCCAUCCGCCCAAAUCUACAGACAUCCCGCAUGUUCCCGGGCUCGUCUCCCCAAUACAGGGCACCAAGGACCCCGGGUGCAGCAUCUGGGUCCCCCUGCCCCGCCCUGCCUUGCGCCGCAGCCGCUUCCGUUGUCCUGCCAGGCUGUAGACUGCGCAGCCCUCCUGGAGACAGAUGGAAGCUCCUUGGGUCGACAGAUUACAGCUUCUGGAACCCCCUACUCCCUUCAACUCCGAGAUGGACACCCACUGUCCAGGGAGAGGAUGCCUGGAAAUAACAGCUGGGAUCUACAGUGGCCAAAGAGUUGUCUCCGUCUUGCUACAUCGACAAACUGGUGCUCCUGACCACUUCGGAAGCGUUUUCCUCUCCACUCUGACAACAGGCAAGAGUGAGGGUCCAACAAUACAGAGGAAGUAACGUGUCGCUGCUACUCUUCCAUGCCCAGUGCCAGGAGCGACGGUACACUCCAGAGUGCUGUGCCCUGAUGGGCCUUUGAGUGGCCAGUGCAGUGGAUCAUCAGCCCUGUCUCCCAAGAGCUCCAGUCCCUUCUCCGGAGAGGAAGUGGGUCCACUGGCAGCUCAGGAGGCCAUAGCAGGAUUGUCACGUGUGCUCAACAGUCCUCCUCGGCUUUCCAGAAGAGGCUGGAACAGGGCCCUUGAAGAUGUUUGUGGACAUCAGAGGGCCAAAGACGACACAAAGUGAAACUGGAGACACCGCCCCCCCUUGGCAUCAUGAAACUGCCGAUGUUACUGGCUCAUGCAUGGGAGACACCAGCAUACAAAGUCUUGACACCAACACCUCAGAGGGCUGUGUUCUGUCCCCGUGACCAUCAUCUAGUGCCUGGAAAGACUAGUGACAAGAACUUGUUGCCAACUUCCUAUUACCUCCCUAACAGUUGUGCAAUAAACCCCAUAGGUUAAUUCAGU